AUGAACGCUGGCGGCGUGCCUAAUACAUUCCAGUCGAGCGAACAGACGAGGAGUUUGCUCCUCUUUCGUUAGCGGCGGGCUGGUGAGUAACACGUGGAUAACCUGCCUGUGAGGCUUGAAUAACUUCGGGAAACCGUAGCUACUACUGGAUAAUGUAUGGAACCGCAUGGUUCCAUCGUGAAAGACGGUUUUGCUGUCACCUAUAUCUGGAUCCGCGCCGCAUUAGCUAGUUGGUAAGGUAACGGCUUACCAAGGCAACGAUGCGUAGCCGACCUGAGAGGAUGAUCAGCCACACUGGAACUGAGACACGGUCCAGACUCCUACGGGAGGCAGCAGUAGGGAAUAUUGCGCAAUGGGCGAAAGCCUGAUGGAGCCAUGCCGCGUGAGUGAUGAAGGUCUUCGGAUCGUAAAACUCUGUUAUUAGGGAAGAACAAAAGUGUAAGUAACUAUGCACGUCUUGACGGUACCUACACAGAAAGCCACGGCUAACUACGUG
rnacentral:rRNA from 1 species